rnacentral:lncRNA from 1 species
AUGGCUUCCAUGUGUGGUUGAUCCAGCUCGAUGGCGUCACCUUGAGGCGAUCGGAGAAGAUUCUGGAAAGACACGAGAGAAAAGGUGUCUCCUGGCUCUACCCCGCCAUGUCACCCUCCCUCCCGGCUGCAAAGUGUGCGGCGUCUUUGUCGUGUCCUGCUCCAGAACUUGGCGGCUUGCCGGCGUUCAGCACCUGCCCUUCACUCCACACGUUCUUCCAUUCCACGGCCGCAUUGCAUCGUCAACUUCAUUCGCCCUGGCCUGUGGCUCUGCGUAUGCAUGGUCAGCACCGUACCAUUCGAUCCCUCUAGGCCCUUGUUUAGUUGUAAUUUUUUUUUUUUAAAAUAGACAUAUACAUGUGUCUUAAAAUUCGAUGUGACGAGAAAACUAAAAAAUUUUACAAAAUUUAUAAAGAACUAAACACGGCCUUGCUUUGUUGCUGCUCCCUGUUCAGUCCAGUGGGGAUAU